rnacentral:rRNA from 1 species
UACGAAGGGGGCUAGCGUUGCUCGGAAUCACUGGGCGUAAAGCGCACGUAGGCGGCUUUUUAAGUCAGGGGUGAAAUCCUGGAGCUCAACUCCAGAACUGCCUUUGAUACUGGGAAGCUUGAGUCCGGGAGAGGUGAGUGGAACUCCGAGUGUAGAGGUGAAAUUCGUAGAUAUUCGCAAGAACACCAGUGGCGAAGGCGGCUCACUGGCCCGGUACUGACGCUGAGGCGCGAAAGCGUGGGGAGCAAACAGG